rnacentral:rRNA from 1 species
CUUAAUCCUAAAGGGCGUGAAAUAAGCAUAAUCGGAUACCGUUUAAUUGACGGGGAGUUGAAUGGAUUUACGAGUGACAAUCUGUCUUGUUCUAAGAAUGAAUGAAUUAGAAGUUUAAGUGAAGAUGCUUAGUAAAACAAAAAGACGAAAAGACCCCGUGAAGCUUAACUAUAAGUCAACUAGGAAAAGGAAUUUCUUCUUAGUUGAAAGGGUAGUUUUGGUGGGGUGCCAGUACGUUAAAAAAAACAUGAAGUUAAUUUAGUAAAACUAAUAACUAGUGUAAUAAACAGAUUUACGCAGAGGAAAAAUCCGAUAAAGUGACCCGACUAAGUUUGAGGAUUAAGUCGACGAAGAAUAAUAGCUACUCCGGGGAUAACAGG